GAGUGGCGAACUGGUGAGUAACACGUGGGAAACCUGCCCAGAAGCGGGGGAUAACACCUGGAAACAGAUGCUAAUACCGCAUAACAACUUGGACCGCAUGGUCCGAGCUUGAAAGAUGGCUUCGGCUAUCACUUUUGGAUGGUCCCGCGGCGUAUUAGCUAGAUGGUGGGGUAACGGCUCACCAUGGCAAUGAUACGUAGCCGACCUGAGAGGGUAAUCGGCCACAUUGGGACUGAGACACGGCCCAAACUCCUACGGGAGGCAGCAGUAGGGAAUCUUCCACAAUGGACGAAAGUCUGAUGGAGCAACGCCGCGUGAGUGAAGAAGGGUUUCGGCUCGUAAAACUCUGUUGUUAAAGAAGAACAUAUCUGAGAGUAACUGUUCAGGUAUUGACGGUAUUUAACCAGAAAGCCACGGCUAACUACGUGCCAGCAGCCGCGGUAAUACGUAGAUGGCAAGCGUUGUCCGGNNAUUUAUUGGGCGUAAAGCGAGCGCAGGCGGUUUUUUCAAGUCUGAUGUGAAAGCCUUCGGCUCAACCGAAGAAGUGCAUCGGAAACUGGGAAACUUGAGUGCAGAAGAGGACAGUGGAACUCCAUGUGUAGCGGUGAAAUGCGUAGAUAUAUGGAAGAACACCAGUGGCGAAAGCGGCUGUCUGGUCUGUAACUGACGCUGAGGCUCGAAAGUAUGGGUAGCAAACAGGAUUAGAUACCCUGGUAGUCCAUACCGUAAACGAUGAAUGCUAAGUGUUGGAGGGUUUCCGCCCUUCAGUGCUGCAGCUAACGCAUUAAGCAUUCCGCCUGGGGAGUACGGCCGCAAGGCUGAAACUCAAAGGAAUUGACGGGGGCCCGCACAAGCGGUGGAGCAUGUGGUUUAAUUCGAAGCUACGCGAAGAACCUUACCAGGUCUUGACAUACUAUGCAAAUCUAAGAGAUUAGACGUUCCCUUCGGGGACAUGGAUACAGGUGGUGCAUGGUUGUCGUCAGCUCGUGUCGUGAGAUGUUGGGUUAAGUCCCGCAACGAGCGCAACCCUUAUUAUCAGUUGCCAGCAUUAAGUUGGGCACUCUGGUGAGACUGCCGGUGACAAACCGGAGGAAGGUGGGGAUGACGUCAAAUCAUCAUGCCCCUUAUGACCUGGGCUACACACGUGCUACAAUGGAUGGUACAACGAGUUGCGAACUCGCGAGAGUAAGCUAAUCUCUUAAAGCCAUUCUCAGUUCGGAUUGUAGGCUGCAACUCGCCUACAUGAAGUCGGAAUCGCUAGUAAUCGCGGAUCAGCAUGCCGCGGUGAAUACGUUCCCGGGCCUUGUACACACCGCCCGUCACACCAUGAGAGUUUGUAACACCCAAAGUCGGU
rnacentral:rRNA from 1 species